rnacentral:misc_RNA from 1 species
UACCCUUCUCUGAUCGAAAGAAAUUUCUAAGACCACUAGUUAAUUCUUUCACACCUUCAUUCACAUACAUCAAUGCUUUCCUUCCAGAAGAAAGCAUGCGUCCAGACAAACCCAUACAUUAUUCUAAAAAUGUGCACCUUCAACUCCAAAGCAUACAACAAUACUACAAUACUAGGGUAAAAAUACUAUUCCGAUACUAGAAAUUUCUUUCGAUCAGAGAAGGGUA